CAGCGCCACGAGUAGCAACCGCUUUUAUUGGGCCUAAAGCGUCCGUAGCCGGCUAAUUAAGUCUCUUGUGAAAUCGUUAAGCUUAACUUAACGGCGUGCAAGAGGUACUGGUUAGCUUGGAACCGGGAGGAGUCAGAGGAAUUCCGGGGGGAGCGGUAAAAUGUUUUAAUCCCUGGAGGACCACCGGUGGCGAAGGCGUCUGACUAGAACGGAUUCGACGGUGAGGGACGAAAGCUAGGGGAGCAAAACGGAUUAGAUACCCGAGUAGUCC
rnacentral:rRNA from 1 species